rnacentral:rRNA from 1 species
UACGCAGGGGGCAAGCGUUGUCCGGAUUUAUUGGGCGUAAAGCGCGUGUAGGCGGUCAGGAAGUUCCGUUGUGAAAACUCGAGGCUCAACCUCGAGACGCCGAUGGAAACCAUCUGACUAGAGUCCGGAAGAGGAGAGUGGAAUUCCUGGUGUAGCGGUGAAAUGCGCAGAUAUCAGGAAGAACACCCGUGGCUAAGGCGGCUCUCUAGUACGGUACUGACGCUGAGACGCGAAAGCGUGGGGAGCGAACAGG